rnacentral:rRNA from 1 species
UGGGCUUGACAUGUUGGUGGUAGUGAAGCGAAAGUGGAACGACCCUUCGGGGAGCCUUCACAGGUGCUGCAUGGCUGUCGUCAGCUCGUGUCGUGAGAUGUUGGGUUAAGUCCCGCAACGAGCGCAACCCUUGUCGUUAGUUACAUGUGUCUAACGAGACUGCCGGUAUCAAACCGGAGGAAGGUGGGGAUGACGUCAAGUCAGCAUGGUCUUUAUGUCCAGGGCUACACACACGCUACAAUGGCCGGUACAAUAGGUUGCCACACCGCGAGGUGGCGCUAAUCCUCAAAGCCGGUCUCAGUUCGGAUUGCAGUCUGCAACUCGACUGCAUGAAGGUGGAGUUGCUAGUAACCGCGCGUCAGCAUAGUGCGGUGAAUGCGAAGCCGGGCCU